AGCCAUGCGAGUCAUGGGGCGCGCUCUGCGCGCACCGGCGGACGGCUCAGUAACACGUCGGUAACCUACCCUCGGGAGGGGGAUAACCCCGGGAAACUGGGGCUAAUCCCCCAUAGGCCUGGGGUACUGGAAGGUCCCCAGGCCGAAAGGGGCUCUGCCCGCCCGAGGAUGGGCCGGCGGCCGAUUAGGUAGUUGGUGGGGUAACGGCCCACCAAGCCGAAGAUCGGUACGGGCCAUGAGAGUGGGAGCCCGGAGAUGGACACUGAGACACGGGUCCAGGCCCUACGGGGCGCAGCAGGCGCGAAACCUCCGCAAUGCGGGAAACCGCGACGGGGGGACCCCCAGUGCCGUGCCUCAGGCACGGCUUUUCCGGAGUGUAAAAAGCUCCGGGAAUAAGGGCUGGGCAAGGCCGGUGGCAGCCGCCGCGGUAAUACCGGCGGCCCAAGUGGUGGCCGCUAUUAUUGGGCCUAAAGCGUCCGUAGCCGGGCCCGUAAGUCCCUGGCGAAAUCCCACGGCUCAACCGUGGGGCUUGCUGGGGAUACUGCGGGCCUUGGGACCGGGAGAGGCCGGGGGUACCCCUGGGGUAGGGGUGAAAUCCUAUAAUCCCAGGGGGACCGCCAGUGGCGAAGGCGCCCGGCUGGAACGGGUCCGACGGUGAGGGACGAAGGCCAGGGGAGCGAACCGGAUUAGAUACCCGGGUAGUCCUGGCUGUAAAGGAUGCGGGCUAGGUGUCGGGCGAGCUUCGAGCUCGCCCGGUGCCGGAGGGAAGCCGUUAAGCCCGCCGCCUGGGGAGUACGGCCGCAAGGCUGAAACUUAAAGGAAUUGGCGGGGGAGCACUACAAGGGGUGGAGCGUGCGGUUUAAUUGGAUUCAACGCCGGGAACCUCACCGGGGGCGACGGCAGGAUGAAGGCCAGGCUGAAGGUCUUGCCGGACGCGCCGAGAGGAGGUGCAUGGCCGCCGUCAGCUCGUACCGUGAGGCGUCCACUUAAGUGUGGUAACGAGCGAGACCCGCGCCCCCAGUUGCCAGUCCUCCCCGCUGGGGAGGAGGCACUCUGGGGGGACCGCCGGCGAUAAGCCGGAGGAAGGAGCGGGCGACGGUAGGUCAGUAUGCCCCGAAACCCCCGGGCUACACGCGCGCUACAAUGGGCGGGACAAUGGGAUCCGACCCCGAAAGGGGAAGGGAAUCCCCUAAACCCGCCCUCAGUUCGGAUCGCGGGCUGCAACUCGCCCGCGUGAAGCUGGAAUCCCUAGUACCCGCGUGUCAUCAUCGCGCGGCGAAUACGUCCCUGCUCCUUGCACACACCGCCCGUCACUCCACCCGAGCGGGGUCCGGGUGAGGCCUGGUCUCCCUUCGGGGAGGCCGG
rnacentral:rRNA from 1 species